CCUACGGGUGGCAGCAGUGAGGAAUAUUGGUCAAUGGGCGCGAGCCUGAACCAGCCAAGUAGCGUGAAGGAUGACUGCCCUACGGGUUGUAAACUUCUUUUAUAUAGGAAUAAAGUGUUCCACGUGUGCCUUUUUGUAUGUACUUUAUGAAUAAGGAUCGGCUAACUCCGUGCCAGCAGCCGCGGUAAUACGGAGGAUCCGAGCGUUAUCCGGAUUUAUUGGGUUUAAAGGGAGCGUAGAUGGGUUGUUAAGUCAGUUGUGAAAGUUUGCGGCUCAACCGUAAAAUUGCAAUUGAUACUGGCAGUCUUGAGUACAGUAGAGGUAGGCGGAAUUCGUGGUGUAGCGGUGAAAUGCUUAGAUAUCACGAAGAACUCCGAUUGCGAAGGCAGCCUACUAAACUGCAACUGACACUGAUGCUCGAAAGUGUGGGUAUCAAACAGGAUUAGAUACCCGAGUAGUC
rnacentral:rRNA from 1 species